AUUGAACGCUGGCGGCAGGCCUAACACAUGCAAGUCGAACGAGUGGCGGACGGGUGAGUAAUGUCUGGGAAACUGCCCGAUGGAGGGGGAUAACUACUGGACACUGUCGCUUAUACCGCAUACCAUCGGAUGUGCCCAGAUGGGGUUAGCUAGGAGGUGGGGUAACGGCUCACCGAGGCGACGAUCUCUAGCUGGUCUGAGAGGAUGACCAGCCACACGGGAACUGAGACACGGUCCAGACUCCUACGGGAGGCAACAGUGGGGAAUAUUGCACAAUGGGCGCAAGCCUGAUGCAGCCAUGCCGCGUGUAUGAAGAAGGCCUUCGGGUUGUAAAGUACUUUCAGCGGGGAGGCGUUACCCGCAGAAGAAGCACCGGCUAACUCCGUGCCAGCAGCCGCGGUAAUAC
rnacentral:rRNA from 1 species